AGUGGAUACACUUGUCUCCCCUUUAAAGGAGACACUCUUAGAGAGAGACGAUUAGAGUCAUCCUUAAAUAUGGGCAGCAUAUCAGUCUUGGACUGUCUAACCUGCCGGAGCAGCACUGAAUGAUCACCACACAUGAGCAUGUUCCUGCAACAUUCAGCAUCUGAUCCUUCAUCUGUGUGCUUCUGCUUUUGUGUCACAUGUCAAACAGCUGGAGAGGAAACUACACCAGUGUACUGGGAUGUUUCACCAACACGUGCCAGAUGCUGUUCCUUCAUGGUGACAUCACCAGAGACAGCCCCGCCCACCUCAGGACCUCGCCAUUGACCAUGAUGAUUAUAAUGAUGACAGCGAGCGGAACUAAGACUGU